rnacentral:lncRNA from 1 species
GGACAGGGGAAGGAGCGAAGAUGGCGGAGUGAGGCGUGCCCCGGGCAGCUGGCCUGCGGGCCCGGGGCAGGCCUCCCGUGAGAAGCGGAGUACUUGUGCUGGACCGUGUGAGGUGCUUUUAUAUUCAGCUCAACAUUCUGAACUCAGGACUUGGCACGAAUUCCUAUGUGGACUGCUCAGUGAGGCGUCCUGGUUCUUCCAUCCUGUUACUUUCCCCAGUGAGAUGCAGAUGUCUUUCGACAGAUUACCUCCAUGGUUUAGGAUGCAGAGACUGCCUUUCUUUUACGUCAGACUCAACACAGGAAAGCCGUGAGGAUGCAGCCGUCCUGUUGACUUCAGCAAGAAAACAAACCAUGGACUUGGGUCUUCUGCAGCUUUUGAAUUGGAAAGACGGUGUUUGCAAGUAGAAGGAAGAUGCUGAAUUUGAAACAAGUGCUUAGGUUCUGUGGCGUGAGUUGUUUUCUUUUUAAAAGAUCCAAACAAGAAGACUGAACAAAUACCAAGUGUGGGUGACUUCAGGUUUUUUUUUUAAUGUCUUCCAAUUUUAACACUAUUAUAAGCACAGUUGACCGCAGUAAGUUCCAAAUAUUUAAUAUAAUUUGAAGUGAAAGAAAUGUUAUCUAAAUUCUGGCUCACUCUUUGACAGUUUUCCUGGACAAAAACAAGAUACGAUAAAAGCA